GACGAACGCUGGCGGCGUGCUUAACACAUGCAAGUCGAACGGAAAGGCCCUGCUUUUGUGGGGUGCUCGAGUGGCGAACGGGUGAGUAACACGUGAGUAACCUGCCCUUGACUUUGGGAUAACUUCAGGAAACUGGGGCUAAUACCGGAUAGGAGCUCCUGCUGCAUGGUGGGGGUUGGAAAGUUUCGGCGGUUGGGGAUGGACUCGCGGCUUAUCAGCUUGUUGGUGGGGUAGUGGCUUACCAAGGCUUUGACGGGUAGCCGGCCUGAGAGGGUGACCGGCAGUAUGGGGAAGGAGAGAAGGGCGGGAGGGCGGGGGGAGGAACAAGGGGGGUGGAGGGAGGAAGGGGAGGAGGUGUGAAGCAGCCACGGCGUGUGAGGGAGGAAGGCGGGCGGGUGGGAAAAAGGGGGCGCCUGUGAAGAAGGGGGCGGGAGGGGAAUGGGUAAAGGGGGAACGGCUAGCUAAGUG
rnacentral:rRNA from 1 species